CUCUUCUCCCUCUCAUUCAUUUCAACCCGAAAACAGCUAUCAAUUUCUCUCUCUACAGUGGAAAGAAGAAGAACCCAAAUUAAGAGAUUUUCUUUCGUUUUUCUACAAGUUAAGACCUGGUUUAUGUUUGCUCUCUGUUUUUUCAUAAACCAGGUCCUAACCUUCCCUAAUCAAUCAAUCUACACCUCUUCUCUUCUUCACUUUUUUAUCUUUUAAGAAAAAAAAAAGAGGCUUCUUUGAGCUUAUUCUUCCACAAUGAACGACCUUCUAUCGGAAUCUUUUGAGAUCCCUCGUGGUCAGGGUUCUAGAGGUGGAGAUAUUGAGAUGGGAAUGAAUUCUGGAGAUUCGGGCCUGGAAAAUUUCUUUAAGAAGGUUCAAGAGAUUGAGAAGCAAAAUGAGAAACUGAACAAGCUACUUAAAAAGCU
rnacentral:misc_RNA from 1 species